GAUGAACGCUGGCGGCGUGCCUAAUACAUGCAAGUCGAGCGAACGGACGAGAAGCUUGCUUCUCUGAUGUUAGCGGCGGACGGGUGAGUAACACGUGGAUAACCUACCUAUAAGACUGGGAUAACUUCGGGAAACCGGAGCUAAUACCGGAUAAUAUUUUGAACCGCAUGGUUCAAAAGUGAAAGACGGUCUUGCUGUCACUUAUAGAUGGAUCCGCGCUGCAUUAGCUAGUUGGUAAGGUAACGGCUUACCAAGGCAACGAUGCAUAGCCGACCUGAGAGGGUGAUCGGCCACACUGGAACUGAGACACGGUCCAGACUCCUACGGGAGGCAGCAGUAGGGAAUCUUCCGCAAUGGGCGAAAGCCUGACGGAGCAACGCCGCGUGAGUGAUGAAGGUCUUCGGAUCGAAAAACUCUGUUAUUAGGGAAGAACAUAUGUGUAAGUAACUGUGCACAUCUUGACGGUACCUAAUCAGAAAGCCACGGCUAACUACGU
rnacentral:rRNA from 1 species